CUAUAUGUCUUUGAUUAUGAUUUCCGUCUCUGGAAUGCCCAUGUUUACUAUGUGAAACUUCAUGUUUGAAAUCAUGUUUUAUACCUCUCUCUCAAGUUCAUAAUCCAUCCACAUUACUGCAGUGCCCUCCUCCAGCACCUGUAAAAUUCUGCAUUGUAUGUGUCAGUUUGGAUGCUGAAGUCCUUCUGGGCUACAGAAAAAUCUCUGUUUUUUUUUUUCCAGUUCCUAGAAAGUCCUUUAUUUGAUAACUAUUUUUGAGUGACCAGUGUAAUGAAUGCAUCAACAAAUUAACCAGAAACUAGCAUUUUCAAGAUAAAUGUGGGC
rnacentral:lncRNA from 1 species